rnacentral:rRNA from 1 species
GAUGAACGCUGGCGGCGUGCCUAAUACAUGCAAGUCGAGCGAACAGAUGAGGAGCUUGCUCCUCUGACGUUAGCGGCGGACGGGUGAGUAACACGUGGAUAACCUACCUAUAGGACUGGGAUAACUUCGGGAAACCGGAGCUAAUACCGGAUAAUAUAUUGAACCGCAUGGUUCAAUAGUGAAAGACGGUUUUGCUGUCACUUAUAGAUGGAUCCGCGCCGCAUUAGCUAGUUGGUAAGGUAACGGCUUACCAAGGCAACGAUGCGUAGCCGACCUGAGAGGGUGAUCGGCCACACUGGAACUGAGACACGGUCCAGACUCCUACGGGAGGCAGCAGUAGGGAAUCUUCCGCAAUGGGCGAAAGCCUGACGGAGCAACACCGCGUGAGUGAUGAAGGUCUUCGGAUCGUAAAACUCUGUUAUUAGGGAAGAACAAAUGUGUAAGUAACUAUGCACGUCUUGACGGUACCUAAUCAGAAAGCCACGGCUAACUACGUG